ACAACCGUCACUUUUGAUUUUUUUAUGGAAACAUAAAAGUUCGACCAUUGACUAGAGAAAAGUCGGUGGAAACCAGGAACCUUCCACGGAGUUAGUUCUCGUUUUCUCCUCCCAAAAUAAGGUUUUAUUUUUUUUCCAACUCGAUCUCAGAUCAUACCCAAUUAAUCAAAAUAAGGGGCUUUUGAAUUUUGAGGUUUUAGAGGGUGGGAGAUGGCAAGUGGAUUUGGGGAGUCGACCACAAGCGUUCCAUCGCAAAGCUCGUCUUUAUCAGGCAGUAACUGCAAUGACGCGGCUGAUUUCGAAUGCAAUAUCUGCUUCGAAUUAGCUCAGGACCCAAUUGUAACUCUUUGUGGCCACCUCUUCUGUUGGCCAUGUCUAUACAGAUGGCUCCAUCACCACUCUCAGUGCCAGGAAUGCCCAGUUUGCAAGGCCCUAGUACAAGAGGAAAAGUUGGUUCCUCUCUAUGGAAGGGGCAAAACACAGAGUGACCCGCGAUCAAAGUCGUUUCCUGGUAUUGAUAUUCCUAGCCGUCCGGCCGGUCAAAGACCCGAAACUGCUCCUCCUCCCCAGGAUGCAAAUCAGUUUAACUUCGGCAAUUAUGGGUUUGGAUUUAUGGGGGGUUUUAUGCCUAUGGCGACGGCUAGGAUUGGUAACUUCACGCUUUCUACUGCCUUUGGUGGUCUGAUUCCGUCACUAUUCAAUAUUCAUUUCCAAGGUUUCCCGGAUGCUACUGUGUAUGGGCAGACUUCUGGUUUUCCCUAUGGGUUUCAUACAUUUCAUGGAGGUUAUGCUCAUAGGUUCCACCAGCCAAUAGUUCGGGGACAGCAGGCCGAUAAUGUUUUGAAGAGUCUCUUUUUUCUUAUAGGUGUUUUUGUGAUCAUUGCUCUUCUUUGUUGGUAAUAUUUGUUUUCCGCAUAAACUCAGAAGUAAUGAUGGUUUUCUACUGUCGGUGGUGUUAUGAUUGUGUAUAUACGAGGUGCUUGGUGGCUUCGUUUGAAAUCGUCAAUUCGGUCUUACGGUAAGCAACUUUAAUGGAGAAAGAAGAAUCUUUCAACUAUUAUUGGAAAGAAACUUAUAAAGAGUGAUGAAAACAGGACACAUGAUCUACCUACUACCUUUGCAAAAUAAUAUAUACAACAAAGACGUGUGCUCAAAUCCAACUUUUCAAAUUAUUUGCAAUUAUCUGUCUUCUGCUUUCAAUGAUCAUGGAUUCAUGCACAUGCAAAUGC